UUUCUUUCGCAGAGGCGAUAUCAUAACCUGUGAGGUCCAGCUGAGGAGUGAUUAUUGCUGGUUGAAAACUUAUCCCAAAACCCUGCUUGGAACCCCUCACAAUUCUGAAUGCUCUACAUGCUGGAG
rnacentral:snRNA from 1 species